GCCCGCCUAGCUCAAUCGGAUAGAGCGUCAGACUCUUACACAAGAGUAGGUGGGUGAUCUGAAGGCUGCGAGUUCGACCCUCGCGGUGGGCU